UUUCUUCUCUCUCCUGUCUCUACAACACAACGCCACAGUUUUAUUAAAAAAACAAUUUUCUAUGCUCCUCUUCUCAUAACAGCGGAUCCUUCCUAGAACUUUCAUGGUCUCUCUCUCUGUCUCUCUGUCUCAUAUUUUUCUGCUAAGCUUUCAAUAUCACUGCACUUUUUUUCCUCUCGUAUACAUGAACUUGAUCAUGUACUUUUUGACGAAGAACCCGCGUCGAUUACUUCUCUUUGAUCUUCUUUCUCUUCUCAGGUGACUCCAGCUUGAAGGAAAAUUUGAUAAAAAUGAGUUGUUUUCUGUAGGCCAUGCAAGAUGUUGAAGAGUUUGCAAGAUAGUGUAGAAUUCAGUUUUAGAAAGGAUGGAGAAGAGGUUGGGUGAAUGGAAGCAAUUUUAUUUAUCUAUAGGUGGAAGGCUCACACUACCUAAAGAGUUGGAGAAGCUCUAGUGGGAUUGUUGUACAAGGCAGGAUGAAUGAAGAACUAUCUCCCUUCUUUUAGCCAAGCUCUUUAAGAGCCUGGCUAUUCUCUUAGGUGUGUAGUCCCAUCGUCCUAUACCACCAGGUAACUACAGGAAGGAAUCACUUGAAGGUGGUCCCAAGAUGUUGGUUUGGAGUUUUGAACCCAAGACCUUAUGGGUCUCAUGAGAUCUUGAGAGCCACAAGAAUCUUCUGGUGUUGUUGCUGAUAAUUUAAUGAAAUGUGUUCUCUGCUUUUUGGCCAGACUGUACCUAUAACUGCCCGGAUAGAGUGGCUUUGUUGAUGGAGAGCUUCUAAUUUGGACGUGACCUAUUUAUUUUUCAAUGAGGCCUUUUCACCAUUGUCAGUGAAAGAGGAAUUUAAACGAAUCUGAAAAAGAUGCCAAAGACAUGAACCUUGGCCUUUGUUCAACACACACGCCAAGGGAUCCCCUGACCAGCCGGUAACAAAUAAAAACAGUGUGGAUACUGUAAAGAAUCUUUUCAGAGUCCCAAGGCUAGAAAUGCUGGCCUCCAUCCACUUCACGUGCAAAAGGACUUCCUAAGCUUCUUUGCACAAAGCACUAAAAUGCUGUGGUCUUUGAUGGACCAGGCCAUGGGCAGUAAGGUAUGACAGUCAUGGGGAAUCUUGCACUUCUUGGGUAUUUUAUUUCAUUAAUAUUCUAUAAUAUUGGGACACUAAUAGUAAUAAGUAAGUGUACAGUUAAAUUGCUGAGUAUGCAGUGGCAGAUUGCAUGAGAUUACUUGGAUGGUUCUCAAUGCUAUAAAAUUAGGUGCAAUGCACCUGAUAGUGUUUCUUCCAGCCAUAAAGGAAAACUUGUGGAGGAAAAGAGUGGUUCAUAGACAGUUACCUUGACGUCCGAAGCAGGAUUGGAUGGCUGGUGUUGAUCCUCUUUUGCUUUGCUGUAACGCCCAAUAACAGAUUUUAAGCUGACAAAAAUUGGCACCAUCAUUAUGUUAUAUAUUUUUAAUGAAAAAAUCAUUAAUAUUUUACGCAUAGAGCUCUCAAUUCUCU